GGUCCGAUGGUCUAGGGGUAUGAAGCUCUCUUGGGGCGGUUCACUGUCUAUAGGCGAGGUCCCGAGUUCGAUUCCCGGUUGAGCGC